CUGAGCGGUCCUGGCAGUCGGCCUCGCCGUCGCAGCGCAGGCGCAGGUCCACGCACUGGCCCCGCGCACAGGGGAACUGGGCCGCCGAGCACACCGGGCAGCCCUCCUCGUCGCUCUGGUCGUCACACUCGGGGAAGCCGUCGCAGCGCCAGGCCCCUGCAUUAGGGGAAGAGGAUCAAGCGUGGAAGGAGAAAGAAAAGACAAAAUACAAAAAGAAACAGACAAGCCUGCUACUACUGGAGUUGCAGACUUCAGCACUCCUGCCUGAGAGCCGGCAGGCAGCCAGGAGGAGUACAGACGGCCUGAACACCACCGUCUGUCAACUGGAUCUAACUGACGUCUACGGAAGGCUUCCCCAGCAGGAGCAGAGGACACAUUCUUCUCAAGCUGACAUGGAACGCUCACCAAGAAAGAUCACAUGCUGGGUCAUAAUAUUAAAAGGACAGAAGUCAUACAAAGUAUGUUCUUUGACCACCGUGGAAUUAAACUAGAAGCCAGUAACAGACUGAUAGCUGGGAAAUGCCCAGAUAUUUUGAAAUUAAACAGCCCACAUCUAAAUAACUCAGGGGCCAAAGGAAUUGUCUUAGGAGAAAUUUUAAAACAUUUGAACAAACCGAAAAAGAUAUAACUUAUCAAAAUUUGUAGGAUGCAGCAAAAGCAGUACUUCGAGGGAAAUUCAUAGCCCCGAAUGCAUACCCUGGAACAGGAAGGCAAAUGCAAGGAGAGGUGGCCCCGGAGAAUGGAUGCCACAUGAGUGUGAUUAUAGAAGGAUGCUGGGCAGAGACCUGGCGGGCAGGGAAUCAAAUCCCUGUCCAGUGUCCCAAGAGAAAGUGCUGAGGUCACACCUACCGCCACAGGUCAGCAGGUUCUGCAGGAGCACGAGGUGGACUGGGCAUGAGCACCGUGGUGUCCCGUCACCCUUGGCAAUGCAGAUAUGGGAGCAGCCGCCGUUAUCCCUGGCACACGGGUGGGCCGCUGCGGAGACAAAAAGAGAGAGGGUGUCAGGCUCAGCCUCUCACCUCAGGACUGCAGCCCCGAGGGUUCUAGAGACAAGAGCCAGGCAAGAACUCACAGGAAUGGUCACUCCUAUAGGCCAGGCCCCUGCAGAUCAUCCUACUUAAAUCCCAGGGCAGCCGACAGAGUCUACUUCCAUGAACGCACAUGUUACAGACAGGAAAAUGGAGGCUGAAGCACCCACAGAAUUGGCCCAACAUCACACCCUAGCCCAUCUACACAGUUCCCACGAUGCCCACAACUACCACUCCACACUGCCUGUCUCUCAUGGUGUAGUGCCCCCUCUCCAAAACAUGUCCGUGUCCUAAUGCCUGAAAACCUGUGAAUGUGACUUUAUUUUGAAAAGGGGUCUUCACGGAUGUAGUCAAACUAAGGCUCUGGAGAGGAGGUCAUCCUGGGUUUUCUGGGUGGCCCUAAAUCCAACAGCAGGUGUCCUUGUAGGAGCCCCAGAAGAGGUGAAGACACAGACGCGGGGGAGAAGUCCGUGUGAGGACAGAGGCAGAGCCUGGAGCCACGUGGACCCAAAGCACCUGCAGUCGCCGCAAAGUAAAGGAGGCGACAAGCCGUCCCCCCACAGCCCCCAGAGCGGGCCGCAGGCUCCCUGACAUCUUGACCUUGGACGUCUGGCCACUGGACUGGAGGAGAACAUGCUUCUGUUGUGUUAAGUCCCCCAGUUUGUGAUGACUUGUCAGACUUGUCCCGGCAAUCACUGGAAGCGGAUACAUGAGGGUUAAACAGCAGGACACCAGGGAACCUUGGUUUUCAGUUCAAUUAACCGAAUUAACCCACACCUGAACAGCAGGAAGACGCCUAGGAGGAAAAGAGAGAAAGCACGAACCCCAGCCCCACAGAAAGACAGUGUCCUGCCUCAGCCUCGGGGGUUAAGAGUUUAGUGACAGAAGUCACGGUUUAGAGCAGGGGUCAGCAAACUCUUUCUAUAAACAAGAAAGUAAACGGUUUUGGCUUGAUGGGCCAGACCACCUGUCACAAGCCUGCCGGCCAUCAACAAGGGUGGCCAUGGAUGAUGCACAAACCAAUGGGUGUGGCUGUGUGCCAAUAAAACUUUAUGUAUAAGAACA